GACAGAGGGUGCAAACGUUGCUCGGAAUUACUGGGCGUAAAGCGCGUGUAGGUGGAUUGGUGUGUCAGAUGUGAAAUCCCUGGGCUCAACCCAGGAACUGCACCUGAAACUACCAGUCUUGAGUGGUGGAGAGGGAAGUGGAAUUCCUGGUGUAGAGGCGAAAUUCGUAGAUAUAGGAAGAACACCAGUGGCGAAGGCGGCU
rnacentral:rRNA from 1 species